ensembl:miRNA Mir711 microRNA 711
CAUGUGCCUAACUUUGAAUUUCUUCUUAGGGUGCUUCAGGCAAAGCCGGGGACCCUGGGAGAGAUGUAAGUUAGGGGAGAUG